CGCGGCCCCUUCCCCACCGGGAGACGGCAUCCGCCGCGGGCCGCGCCUCACCUAGGGCCACCUCGCAGGCUUUGCGCAGCUGGGAGUGAUGCGCCUUCUUCACUUCCUUGUCGGCCAGGAUCUUCUCCAGGGCCCGGGAGCAGAGAUGGUGGCUAUGAGAAAACAUUGCUGUGCCGCUAAUGGGACUGUUGAGGUGCAAUUUAUAAUUGUUCAUAGCUGAGAAGGCUGAACAGAGCAAACAUUGCUGGGCUGGUCAAAAUCUCCUUUGUUGUGGAGGCGAUAUGUGAGGACACACAAAAGGCGACAUGGGGAGAGAUGGGAGGAAACACGUGAGGACCCACGACACAAAUGGAGAUGUGAAAGGAGACACAAGACACACAAAAGGAGAUGUGAGGAGAAAUGUGAAGAGGUGUGUCUUUGGAGGAAGUGGAGGACACAUGGAAGGGGACGUCGCUGGGGACAUGGCUGGAAGUGCACUCUUGGAAGGAGGCACUCCAUGUCAGAGGAGGUACACCGCUAAAAGACUGUGGCCCAUGACAACCCAUGCCAGAGCAGAGGAGCAGUAACAGGCAAGGAGCAGUGGAGGAAAAGAGCAAGAAGUAAGGGGAGAGAAAGAGAGAAGCCGUUAAACAAUGACCCCAACCUCUCGUGUCGCCCACCACCUCACCAAAGGAAUUGGGAGGGCCUGAGUGUCACAUGUGGCAGCAACAAGGGAAGUGGAGACUGGGAAGUGGGAAGGAGAGGUGUUGGGCUGAAGAUGAGCCUGGGGAAUACAGUUUAUGCAAUUGGCUAUGUCGUCUUUGUUUCUCAAUACCCAGAUCAGUAAUUAAAAGUUUAUGUUAAUUGGAAAUAAAUUAAAUGAAGUGAAAUUCCUCAAGUUUAGACUAUUUCGCCUGUGACAAUGCUUGAGGCCUGGGCUAUAAAACUUAGGUUUUGACAACCAUGCACUCACUGCCUUUUCAUCAGGCAAUAAGAAACCUCAAACUAAACAACAGAAAGGCAAAGUAUGUAUCUGAAAACGUGUUGCCCUUUCCCAUGCUAAGAGGUUUGGCAUUUCCAUGAGUUCAGUGGGGUUUUGAGACCAAACGUGCUUAUUUUUGAAGCUGAGCCAAAGGGACUGAUGGCAUUUGAGGACACUCAAGUGGUAGAGGUGUGGAAAUAUGUGGCAGCAGAUCACAUUUUGAUAUGAAGCUGUAGUGGGUUGUGUGAGAAGAGCAACCAAUGUGCUUGGUAGCCUGAAAAUCCUUCACCUGCUGGGGGAAGAGGUGUGCUGGAAAUAAGCCAGACAGCUUCUCCGGGUCGGGUUAUGACCCCGUCCACCUCCAGCUUAGUAAGCAGGUAUCUCUUUAACAGAGUGCCAAUAGCUGGCACCAAGUUACCCUCUAAAACUGGGUCCAUGCUCUAGUGACAGCAGGACUGGAGGCCCCUGACAAGAGUGAUGAAUGUUUACAGCUGGAAGUGCAUUAUUUUCCUGGGUUGAUAGGCGAAAAAUACUUCCCUGCAAGGGCUUGGAAAUGACAAAUAACUUCACCAUAUAUUUGUGACCUUGUUUAAUUAGAAACAUAAGUUUAGUUAACAGAAAAAUACUUAGAUGUUGCAGACCAUUCUGCAUUAUCCUCCACAUUAUGCACAUUUUUGUGUAUGUGAUGAGCAAACGCUAAGGGCACAUUUACAUUAUUUGCAUUAUUUUUCCCUCAAUUAAAGCACCUUGGUAUCCAUAUGUGAAACCCACUGAUGUGGGCUUGGAGAUAAUUUAUAUGACUACCUACUUGGAAAUACAAUUCAGAUCCAUAACUCCACUUUCACAUAGGCUGAAGUUCGUUCUUCCAAAGAGCACAUAGCCUAAAUAACUCAAAUGGCAGUGAUCCUCUGAUGCUUUCCCUGUGAUUCAUCCUUUCAAGAAUAGUUACCUACUCACAUAGUUGACAGGGAAGGGGUCUCAGAACAUCUGAAGCACCUAAAUAGAUGGGAUGUUCUCACAGACAAAUUGCAUGAACACAGAUGCAAGAAGGAAACAAUAUGGUAUGGUUUUUUAGAACGUAAGUGCGCUGGCAGUAAGCUCUCUCACAUGGAUGAGGUUAACCCAAACGUGCACACUUAACUGUGCUCAGACACCAGAACACUCAGCAUAGGCAACUUGGAUUUUUGCCUUUUUUUGAGCAGCAGUAAGCAACCUGCAAGACAGCUUCCUUAAUCUUAAGGCUACAUUGUGUCCAUGGAGGAACAUGUUAAGCAGGGCAGACAAUUAUGCUCCAUUUUAGAAGAAUAAUUUGGGGCUCAAGUAAGAAUUAAGAGUAAUUUCAGGGAGGUUUAAAUUCAUGAUUUCAUGUCAUUUCAUCUUAGUGCUGGAUCAAAGAUAGAACAUUAAAAUCCAAAUUGACUUUAAAUUCACACUACACCGUAUAAGAAUGAGGUUGUGUCCUUUGAAAUAGAUGUGAGCCCUCUAUGAAGCUGACUGUGCUCUGUUUUAAAAAUCAGAGAGUUAACUGCAGUGUCUUAUAACCAGGCUUUGUGUAUUUGUGCACAUGUAGUAAAUGUGGUUGCUGUGUGAAAUACAGCAUUAAAACAUGCGGGUGUUUCUUUUAUUUGCAAACAUAAAUAUUAUUGUAAUAAUACUGCAAACAUUAAUUUGUUUAACAAAAUGACAGAAGACAGGAACCUGAAUUCACUAUUUCUAUGCAUAAAUCUCUAAUUUUGAGAUUAUUUCUGCUGUGUCAUUUACUAGAAAGCAUUCAGUUCACUAAUACAAUUCUAAUGAUAGUAAUAGCUUUACCAUGAA